CUGAUAGAAGAACGGUUUGGGAAAGCCGACCAAAGAGUGUGAAAGUCACGUAUUCGAAAUUAGUUGAACUGUGCGAGUAUCCUGAGUAGGACGGGGCACGUGGAACCCUGUCUGAAGCUGGGGAGACCACUCUCCAAGGCUAAAUACUCCUUACUGACCGAUAGUGUACAAGUACCGUGAGGGAAAGGUGAAAAGAACCCUGAUGAAGGGAGUGAAAUAGAAUCUUGAAACCGUGUGCUUACAGACAGUCAGAGGGCUAUUGUUAAGCCUGAUGACGUACCUUUUGCAUUAUGAUUCAGCGAGUUAAGAUGUGUGGCAAGAUUAAGCCGUUGCAGGUGUAGUCGUAGGGAAACCGAGUCUUAAUAGGGCGUUAGUCGCAUGUCUUAGACCCGAAACGGGAUGAGGCUAUCCAUGAUCAGGUUGAAGCGAGGGUAAACUUCGUGGAGGACCGAACUCGU
rnacentral:rRNA from 1 species